UCCUUGCUGGCUCUGAAGGUAAAGAAUCUACCUGAAAUGAAGGAGACCCAGGUUCAAUCCCUGGGUCAGGAA
rfam:TPA: Bos taurus chromosome 4, whole genome shotgun sequence.